GAUGGCUUCUUCCAUAAGAAGAUUGUUGACAUAAAGACUCAAAACCUCUUGUUUUCGGAUGUUGGCAGGAAGCCCUGUGCGAAUAAACCUUGGUGGAGGUGGAUAUUCUUCGAAUUCCAGAUGAUAACCUCCGGUGAUAAUGGAUCUUACCCAAGCAUCUGGAAUGAUGUCCCAGGCCCUCUGAAAGAAUGAAAGACGUGCUUCCACUCGAGGAACCUGGAGUAAGCCACCUUCAGAAUUGCUUGUUGGGGCGAAAGGAAGAGGUCUGCGUCUUGCCCCUAGAGGAUUUCCCAUUCAGGCCGCUCUUCCAAUUGGAAUUCCUUAAGAAUUCUCUGCCCGGCCUGUAAGUCUUACUUUCCCUAAAGUAGCCUUGAUCCCUAAAAGGUCUACGGUCCAGACGAGGUCUCUUUGGACGCCUAUCUUGUGGCAGCAUGACCUGUUUAACCUCGGACGCCUUUUUAAUAGCUUCAUCCAGAAAGCACUUCUCCCAUAAAGGGAAGUGAGCAUAAAUUAUUCUUGGAUAAAAGGUCUGCCCCCCAGGAUCUCAGCCAAAGCGCCCUUCUAGCGGUGACUGAAUGUGCCAUAACCUUAGAAAGAAUUCUAAUGAGGUCAGUGGAGGAUUCCAAAAGCCAGUCACUGGCGAGUUUGAUAUCCCUUAAGGAUUCCACCAUCUGACGUCUACUAACACCUUUAUCUAUGUCAUCCUCCAAGUCAAGCAACCAGGAACGCAUGGCUUUAGACAAAGCAGAAAUGGACACAGCUGGAUGGCAACCUAAACCCGCUGUCAUGAAAGCUUUAGAUAAAUCAGCAUCAAUCCUUUUAUCCAUGGGCUCCUUAAGGGAAGCAUUGCUAUCAAUUGGUAGUGUGGAUCUUUUAGCAACCUUAAUGAUAGGAGCAUCAACUUUGGGGACCGUAGUCCACAAUCUGGAAUCCUCCUCUUUAAUCGGGUAUAACUUCGAAAGCCGACCUUAACUAGUAAUCCUUUUACUAGGAAUUUGC